GACAGAGGGGGCAAGCGUUGCUCGGAAUCACUGGGCGUAAAGGGCGCGUAGGCGGGAUGGCAAGUCAGUCGUGAAAUCUCUCGGCUCAACCGAGAAACGUCGGCUGAUACUGCCGUUCUUGAGGGAUGCAGAGGAGACUGGAAUUCCCGGUGUAGCGGUGAAAUGUGUAGAGAUCGGGAGGAACACCGGUGGCGAAGGCGGGUCUCUGGGCAUUUCCUGACGCUGAGGCGCGAAAGCGUGGGGAGCAAACCGG
rnacentral:rRNA from 1 species